rnacentral:rRNA from 1 species
AACGAACGCUGGCGGCAGGCUUAACACAUGCAAGUCGAGCGCCCAGCAAUGGGAGCGGCGGACGGGUGAGUAACACGUGGGAAUAUGCCUUUCGGUACGGAACAACUCAGGGAAACUUGAGCUAAUGCCGUAUGCGCCCUUACGGGGAAAGAUUUAUCGCCGAAAGAUUAGCCCGCGUCUGAUUAGCUAGUUGGUGAGGUAAUGGCUCACCAAGGCGACGAUCAGUAGCUGGUUUGAGAGAACGACCAGCCACACUGGGACUGAGACACGGCCCAGACUCCUACGGGAGGCAGCAGUGGGGAAUCUUGGACAAUGGAGGAAACUUUGGUCCAGCCAUGCCGCGGGAGUGAUGAAGGCCUUCGGGUUGUAAAACUCUUUCGGCGGGGACGAUAAUGACGGUACCCGCAGAAGAAGCUCCGGCUAACUUCGUGCCAGCCGCCGCCGUAACAC